rnacentral:misc_RNA from 1 species
AAAAAUUGAAAGCUUCCAUGAAAACUCUUUAUGACUAUACCUACUUCAUGACUUAUGGAGAUGAAUAACCUUCCUUCUUCCAUUCAUCUAACGUUCAUAUCCUACUGUACUCUCAAAAUAUGAGGGUCACAAGCAAUAGAAGAAAAGAAAAAUUUUAUGUUGUCUUCCAUGGUCUUCAACCUGGGAUUUACACCUCAUGGCAAGAAUGCGCCCCACAUGUUAUUGGUGUAAGCAGGAGCUUGUACAAAUCAUAUGACACAAUGGAGGAGGCCUUGCAUGCAUUCAAUCAUGCUAACAAUCUGCCUAUGAAUUCAUAUCGUGGUGGUGAUGGAAUGUCUCUUGUUGCUUCAUCUGGAAUCUCAACAACUUUGGGUAAUGAAGAGCCAUGUCAACAAUAUCUUUCGACAAUCAAUAUGGAGUCAAAGAAAUCCUUAAUGUUUGGAAAGGAAGACCCACGUGAAGAAUCUCCUUCAAUAAGUAAUCUGCAGUUAAGAAAUAUGGAGUCCAAAAAAUUGGAUUAUAGUGCUUUUUUCUACGGAUUUGUUGCUGGGAUCAUUUUGGGGGUUUUAUUCGGAUGUUACUUGAUGUAGUUUAUAGUGACUGGAAAAAAAUGAAGUGAUUACCCUUUUGAUGUGUUAUCUUAAAGCCUAAUGUAUAUAUUAGUAGAUUUAAAUUAUGAAAUUGUUUUGGUGGAUUAAAGAUUUUGUCAUGAUAUUUUUCUCAUUUUCUAGAAAUAUUUAAUUGUGGUAUGACUUCCUUAAAUUUAAAAUAUCUGCAAAAAUUUUG